CCACCUAAUCCUUGUUUCUUGGCGUGAUUUUUAGUCGGCGCUGUUCAACUUCAACUCCUUCCUCAUAGUGGUGCUGCUGGUGAUCUGCACCUGCACCUACAUCAAGAUGCAGUUCCCUGCCAUCCUCAACGAUCGCACCGGGUAUUUUUCUACGCUGACUUCCCAGAUUGAAAAGUCAUUGGGUAUUUCUUCGUGAGCGAUCUGAUCUACGCGAUCCGUCUUUCCUUUUUUUUUCUUUCCGUAAAGGCAAAUAGUCGUACUGUCAAAAUCAGCAUAAAUAUUGAAUAUGAAUUCUCGAUGGGGCUGCGAUAAUGCAACAUGUAGUAGUUGGGUCUAGGGCAUUUUGGUUUUGAUCCGNCGAUGGGGCUGCGAUAAUGCAACAUGUAGUAGUUGGGUCUAGGGCAUUUUGGUUUUGAUCCGUACACGUUUCCGGAUGUCCAACAGUACGCUGAUUCAGAGCCAAUUGCAACCUCUGGAUCCUAUAGUCAGAUUAAGCACGAUUUGGAAGAACUGUGAAACUCCCUUCUUUGUAUAUACCCCAAAAAAGUAGUAAAAAGAUUAGGAACAAGAUGUGCAGGGCCUCUUUGAUCUGCUUGAUUUCAAACAACACAUAAUUAAUACUCCCUCCAUAAAUAAAUAUAAGAGCGUU
rnacentral:lncRNA from 1 species